AUGUACCACGCGUGCACUCCGGUUCUGAGCGCGCCGUACGCACUCACCUGACGACCGCUCGCUACGUUUUGUUGGCC
rnacentral:sRNA from 1 species